ACUGGAUAACUGAAUUCUAGAAUUCAAGCCUGAUGUCAUAGUUCCAUGAGAAUUUUAUGAGAAGGAAAAGGAUGUUGUACAUGGGCAGAAAGGUGAAAAUUGUGGCCAGAGGCAGAUUGUGGUAAAUUACAAAAUUGGCUCAUAAUCCUUUAUUCCUUCUUGCCUCCAUGCUCUUUGCAAUGUGACUUUGCCACUUUUCUCAUUAAGAGAUGGAUUCUGUUCUCCAUUGCCUUCUGUCUGGACUGGUCUUGUAACUUGUUCUGGUUAAUACAGAGGUAAAUGUGAUGACACAUCAGAAGCCCAGGCCUCAAGCAAGCUUUCCCACUUGUUCUCUUGGAACCCUUCCCAGCUAUCAGGUAAAUAAGCCCAGGCUAUUGUGCUGGAUGAUGAGAGGUCACUGGAACACUGAUGAGCCAUAACAGCUGAGGCCAUUCUAGAAUAGGCAGCUUUAGCCAACCAGGCAGCUGACUGCAGAUACAGGCCUGCAUCCAGAUGAGUCCAGAAAAGCAACCUAGACACUACUGGCAAAGACAUUGAAAAGAAUCACACUGCUAAACCAGUAGCAGCUUUUAUCUUCUUCUCAGAUUGUAUACAUGCAGGAUAAAAGUGUUUCUAACACAUAGACUUCUAUAUUCCAGCAUAAAGAUGUAUUAGGCGCAUUUAUACUUUUACAUCGAAGCCUGUUUCAACAUGAACGGAGCCCAGAUAUUUAUGUAGGCCAGUAAUUGGAGUGUAUUUCCCUGUUCAAUUUCACAUUGUCUAUAAAAGGGUUUCUCAUGAUCGAUGACUUUCUAGUUAAAUUCAGAAGAAAACAUCUUGCAGCUACUGCCCUAUUGCCAUGGCCACACAUCACUGCCUUCUAGACAUGGGAAGUUGGUGACUUAAUCCUCGUUAUACCCUGAUUUUGGACAAAUUUUACAAGAAGAAUAGGACUUCUACUUCUCUAUGUCUACAUGCACCUGGAACAGUGCUAGGUCUAUGCUUACAAAUUGAUUGGUUCAGGUCACCGCCAUGAGCCUCAGGACAGAAAAUUGCCGGAUAUGAGAGAGAGAGAGAGAUUUGACUGGGCUAAGAAAGAAAUGAACACGAUUUAGAGAUGGAAAUGGUGACAUAUGGGCCUUUGAAGCCUCCCAUGUUCCAGAGAAGCCUUUUCUAGCUGAUCUCCCACCAUGACAUCCUUCCCCCACAGCUGGUUUGUCUGUUAUUCCACCCUCUGACUUCAUCCUUCAGGUGAGGUUUCACCAUGUUAGUCAGGAUGGUCUCGAUCUCCUGACCUCGUGACCUGCCCAGCUCGGCCUCCCAAAGUGCUGGGAUUACAGGCAUGAGCCAUUGCGCCUAACCUCAGAAACCAUUUUUAUAACCUCAAUACCUAAUAGAAACUGGCACAUGGCCCCUGUGAGCUGUGACUGCAAGAGUCAGCACCUAAAUUAGAUCAACACUACAACAUCAAAAAGCCAGCUUGAUGGCACAGCGGGGAGUGAGGAAGACUCGGUGGACAAAUCUGACUGGAAAACAAGUAGGCGUUGCAGAUGAAGACCUGGAACCAUGGUAGGAAGUGGGACAGGGAGCAUUUGGACAAGCUGUUCAAGAACUGAUCAUGCUCAUGUGUAUGGGAAAACAGAUGGAGGAAGAGAAAUUCCUGAAGAGCACAAGACUGGUGGGGCAAGGAACAAGCCUACUGAGAUGAGUUGCAGAUUUGAAGAUGGGAGAAAUGGUUUCGUUGUCUACCAUGUAAAAACUCAUUUAUGCAAGAUGCUUGAUAUCUGAAUUUCAAUUUCUUCAUUAUCAAAAUGAAUAUUAAAAAUACUCUACUUCUUAGAGUUGUCAAAAA
rnacentral:lncRNA from 1 species